rnacentral:rRNA from 1 species
AAUGAACGCUGGCGGCAGGCCUAACACAUGCAAGUCGAACGAGUGGCGGACGGGUGAGUAAUGGCUGGGAAACUGCCUGACGGAGGGGGAUAACUACUGGAAACGGUAGCUAAUACCGCAUACCAUCAGAUGUGCCCAGAUGGGAUUAGUUAGUUGGUGGGGUAACGGCUCACCAAGGCGAAGAGCCCUAGCUGGUCUGAGAGGAUGACCAGCCACACUGGAACUGAGCCACGGCCCAGACUACUACGGGAGGCAGCGGUGGGGAAUAUUGCACAAGGGGCGCAACCCUGAUGCAGCCAUGCCGCGUGUAUGAAGAAGGCCUUCGGGUUGUAAAGUACUUUCAGCGGGGAGGCGUUACCCGAAGAAGAAGCACCGGCUAACUCCGUGCCAGCAGCCGCGGUAAUUC